GGGCGUGGCGGCGUGCUUACACAUGCAAGUCGAACGGUGACUCAAAGCUUGCUUUGAUGAUCAGUGGCGAACGGGAGAGUAACACGUGAGCAACCUACCCUUGACUCCGGGAUAACAGUUGGAAACAGCUGCUAAUACCGGAUACGACCUCGACCGACAUCAGUUGAGGUGGAAAGUUCUGGCGGUCAAGGAUGGGCUCGCGGCCUAUCAGCUAGUUGGUGAGGUAACGGCUCACCAAGGCUUCGACGGGUAGCCGGCCUGAGAGGGCGACCGGCCACACUGGGACUGAGAUACGGCCCAGACUCCUACGGGAGGCAGCAGUGGGGAAUAUUGCACAAUGGGCGAAAGCCUGAUGCAGCAACGCCGCGUGCGGGAUGACGGCCUUCGGGUUGUAAACCGCUUUCAGCUCCGACGAAGCGCAAGUGACGGUAGGAGCAGAAGAAGGACCGGCCAACUACGUGCCAGCAGCCGCGGUGAUACGUAGGGUCCGAGCGUUGUCCGGAAUUAUUGGGCGUAAAGGGCUUGUAGGCGGUUUGUCGCGUCGGAAGUGAAAACUCAGGGCUUAACCCUGAGCCUGCUUCCGAUACGGGCAAACUAGAGGAAUGCAGGGGAGAAUGGAAUUCCUGGUGGAGCGGUGGAAUGCGCAGAUAUCAGGAGGAACACCAGUGGCGAAGGCGGUUCUCUGGGCAUUUCCUGACGCUGAGAAGCGAAAGCGUGGGGAGCAAACAGGCUUAGAUACCCUGGUAGUCCACGCCGUAACGGGUGGGCACUAGGUGUGGGACUCUUUCCACGAGUAUCCGUGCCGU
rnacentral:rRNA from 1 species